GAGGCAUGCUGGAGGUAUCAGAAGUGCGAAUGCUGACAUAAGUAACGAUAAUGCGGGUGAAAAACCCGCACGCCGGAAGACCAAGGGUUCCUGUCCAACGUUAAUCGGGGCAGGGUGAGUCGACCCCUAAGGCGAGGCAGAAAUGCGUAGUCGAUGGGAAACGGGUUAAUAUUCCCGUACUGGUGAUAAUUGCGAUGGGGGGACGGAGAAGGCUAGGCUAUCCGGGCGACGGUUGUCCCGGUUUAAGGAUGUAGGCAGGUGAAUUAGGCAAAUCCGGUUCACUACAUGCUGAGGUCCGACGACGAGUCACUACGGUGAUGAAGUAGCUCAUGCCCCGCUUCCAGGAAAAGCCUCUAAGCUCUAGAUUAUCAUUAAUCGUACCCCAAACCGACACAGGUGGUCAGGUAGAGAAUACUCAGGCGCUUGAGAGAACUCGGGUGAAGGAACUAGGCAAAAUGGUGCCGUAACUUCGGGAGAAGGCACGCUGGCAUUAGGUGAAGUG
rnacentral:rRNA from 1 species